UACGUAGGGUGCAAGCGUUGUCCGGAAUUAUUGGGCGUAAAGAGCUCGUAGGCGGUUCGUCGCGUCGGCUGUGAAAACCCGGAGCUCAACUCCGGGCCUGCAGUCGAUACGGGCGGACUUGAGUGUUGCAGGGGAGACUGGAAUUCCUGGUGUAGCGGUGAAAUGCGCAGAUAUCAGGAGGAACACCAAUGGCGAAGGCAGCACUCUGGGACGUGACUGACGCUGAGACGCGAAAGCGUGGGGAGCAAACAGG
rnacentral:rRNA from 1 species